rnacentral:lncRNA from 1 species
UUGGCAGGUGCUGAUCCCUAAGGGCAGCACAUCCAUGAGGUGUUCUCAUUUAGAAAUCCUUGACUCUCCCACACCAUCACCACGACCACCACCGCCAUCACCACCACCAUCCCCAUCAAACCACCAAUCUCCUGGCGUUCUUUACUGAGGCCCUGAGAUUCAGGCUGAGACCUGCUUCCUUACAAAAGACUUGUUUCCUUCCUAUCUGACAUAGCCCAGGUAGCAAUCACAUUUCAUAAUGUUUUUCUCCUUUUGUUCUCAGGUGUUCUAAGCCGGCUCCCCGCAGCACACAUCAACAGCAGAACACCUGGGGCAGACCUGGCUCCCAGACCAUCAGGAGAGGCUUGCCAACAAGCUUGCUCAGGAUGUCUCUGUAGUGGAAAUUCUGGGACUGGGGCCUGUUUGGAAAUACCAGAGAUAGUUCAGUUCAGUUCAGUUC